AUUAGAAGGAUAAAAAUGAAGAAAAAGAAGGUAUAUUACUCGGGGUUUAAACCUGUGCAUUAUUAAACAGGAUAUGAUUACAGUGAGCCCAAAUAGGCCAUAGAACCACAAAUCAAACACCCCACCAUAUCCUUUUUGCUCCCUCCCACGAACAAGACCUCCAUAUGGUGCCAAAAGUGCUCCACAAUUUUGAAUUGACAUAGCUGCAUGCACCUCUAACCAUGCAUAGCAGCAAGAGCAAAUCCUAGAAGCAAAAGCACAACUAAAGGACAAGUGAAACGUGGUUUCUUCAGCCUGCAUGCAGGUUGCAAAAGGUGCAAUUGCUAUCGUUAUUUGUUAGCUGAAUUGUCCUUCGUUGGAGACUUGUUCAGCGAUAUUCUCCAAGCUAGAGCUGCUAACUUUGAUGGUACCAAAAUGAACCAAAAAAGUUUUAAAGAAAUCUGCAUUGUCCACAUCCUCAGGGCAUAACAGCAACCUGUAAGCAGUUUUAACAGUAAAACAACUGCCCAUCCACCUCCAAGAGUCUUCUUAAUUGUACCCUUUUUGGUUUUACAGAAUUUAUAACACUCAAAUAGCAGUAGGCAACCGCAACAUCAAGAUACUUUAACAAUCCAUGAUCUAUCAUAACCCUAAUGGUAACCGCAUUUCUCGUAAUUAUCCACAAUAUAAAGGUUUUCUAGGUUAUCACACCCACAAUUUAAAACCAUGCAUGCAAUAAAUCAUCGAGUGAGGAAAUUAAUUUCUUUGUUGUCCUUUUUCCAAUUAUCUCUGUACCAUUCCCAUGUAGUUGUGUUAAUAUUUAAUUUUGUGAUUCAAUUUUAAAAUUAUGUGAUUUUGAAGAGAUAGCUUAGGAACAAUUAAAAAAAAAACAACAAAGAAGACAUGUCUGUAAAGACCUCUUCCAAUAAAAAUAAAAAAACUCCCUACUCCGUUAAUAAUCUUCACCCACAAAGAUUCCUUCGUUAAUAGUCCAAGCUAAGUCUCCCUUCCUCCUUAAUAUCCAAGUCUUCAAGUCUUCCUUAAUAGUCCAAGGCUUCCUUCCUCCUUCAGCUUGCACACUCUCUUCCAGCUCAUCCAAUAUAUCAUAAAUAAAUAAAUAAAACUAUAUACGGAGUUUCCUCUUAAAAUCAAGGAAAUUUUUACCGAACUUCCCCUUAAAUAUAAUUUAAUUAAACCUAAAAUCAAGGAAGUUUCCUCUUGGCUCGUGAAUAAAUGUUUGUCGAGGGGAAUAUAUAAGAAUUUAAUUUGCAAGCUUCGUCAAUUUAUCCGAUAGAACUCCUCUUAAUUCCUCCAAACUAUGUCUCCAAAGAAGAGAAAUAUUGAUGCAGUGAAUGAUCUUGAUCAUGAACACCUAACAAAUUCGAAAAAGAAAAGUGAUGAGAACCUAUGGAAUCUGAUCAAGGGCUCCACCACGAGCUGGAUCUAUGCUUUCUUUUGGCGAUGCUCCUCUUACAAGUCUUGUGUUCUCAGAAAAUUCCGGAAUGAUAAAAGGUGGCAUGGAAGAGCAGAUAAUGAGAUACAUAAUCAUGAAAACGAUGACUUAUCUAAGAAAUCCCGUGGCAAAGAAAAGAUGAGUGAUUCAAAAUCUUCAUGGUCCUUGUUAACAGAAAGUUCUGAAGGAGGCAUUAGUAUCGAUACUACACAUGAGUUUUCUGGACCCUCAUCAUGACUGUGAUCGAAAGGGAUUUGAGUAUAAGAAGAAUCAAGACCAAGUUAUCAACAAUGGAGAAUCAAGAUCAUAAAGCAAUCAAGUGAAUCAACAACGGUGAUGCUUGAAGUUUUAUUAUUAUUAUUAUGAGCAAAAAAUAUUUCAUUGUAAGUAAAAUAGAACAUUAACACAAGAGAUGCUAAAUCCAUCAAGAAACGUUAGGCACAUUAUGCUCACCAAAUUAAAAGUAACCAACACGGCAACACGUGAAAAUGCGAAGCAUGGAUGUACACACAAGUAAAUGCAAUGCAUGUGAUACUAGAAAU